rnacentral:rRNA from 1 species
AGAGUUUGAUCCUGGCUCAGGAUGAACGCUAGCUACAGGCUUAACACAUGCAAGUCGAGGGGCAGCAUGGAAGAAGCUUGCUUCUUCUGAUGGCGACCGGCGCACGGGUGCGUAACGCGUAUCAAACCUGCCUCAUACUCGGGGAUAGCCUUGCGAAAGUAAGAUUAAUACCCGAUGUUGUUAUGUUACCGCAUGGUGAUAUAACCAAAGAUUUAUCGGUAUGAGAUGGUGAUGCGUCCGAUUAGGUAGUAGGCGGGGUAACGGCCCACCUAGCCUUCGAUCGGUAGGGGUUCUGAGAGGAAGGUCCCCCACACUGGAACUGAGACACGGUCCAGACUCCUACGGGAGGCAGCAGUGAGGAAUAUUGGUCAAUGGACGGAAGUCUGAACCAGCCAAGUAGCGUGCAGGAUGACGGCCCUAUGGGUUGUAAACUGCUUUUGUAUGGGGAUAAAGUUAGGGACGUGUCCCUAUUUGCAGGUACCAUACGAAUAAGGACCGGCUAAUUCCGUGCCAGCAGCCGCGGUAAUACGGAAGGUCCAGGCGUUAUCCGGAUUUAUUGGGUUUAAAGGGAGCGUAGGCGGAUUAUUAAGUCAGUGGUGAAAGACGGUGGCUCAACCAUCGUUAGCCAUUGAAACUGGUAGUCUUGAGUGCAGACAGGGAUGCUGGAACUCGUGGUGUAGCGGUGAAAUGCUUAGAUAUCACGAUGAACUCCGAUCGCGAAGGCAGGUGUCCGGGCUGCAACUGACGCUGAGGCUCGAAAGUGUGGGUAUCAAACAGGAUUAGAUACCCUGGUAGUCCACACAGUAAACGAUGUAUACUCGCGGUUUGCGAUAUAAUGUAAGCCGCCAAGCGAAAGCAUUAAGUAUACCACCUGGGGAGUACGCCGGCAACGGUGAAACUCAAAGGAAUUGACGGGGGCCCG